rnacentral:rRNA from 1 species
UACGAGCGGCCCAAACGUUAUUCGGAAUUACUGGGCUGAAAGAGUUCGUAGGCGGCGCGGAAAGUGGGGUGUGAAAGCCCUCGGCUCAACCGAGGAAUUGCGCUCCAAACUACCGUGCUUGAGGAAGCUAGAGGUGAGCGGAACUGAUGGUGGAGCGGUGAAAUGCGUUGAUAUCAUCAGGAACACCGGAGGCGAAGGCGGCUCACUGGGGCUUUUCUGACGCUGAGGAACGAAAGCCAGGGUAGCGAACGGG